CGUUCUGUGGUGUAAUGGUCAGCAUGCUCGCCUCACAAGCAAGUGGACCCAGGUUCAAUCCCGGGCAGGGUGA